rnacentral:rRNA from 1 species
ACUAUGGCUCAGGAUGAACGCUAGCGACAGGCUUAACACAUGCAAGUCGAGGGGCAGCGCGAUGGUAGCAAUACUAUUGGCGGCGACCGGCGCACUGGUGAGUAACACGUAUGCGACCUGCCCCGGACAGGGGGAUAAACCCGGGAAACUGGGCCUAAUACCCCAUAUGCCCUAAGGAUGCAUGUCCUUCGGGUGAAAGAUCCGUCGGUCCGGGAUGGGCAUGCGGCGCAUUAGCUUGUUGGCGGGGUAACGGCCCACCAAGGCGACGAUGCGUAGGGUUCUGAGAGGAAGGUCCCCCACACUGGUACUGAGACACGGACCAGACUCCUACGGGAGGCAGCAGUGAGGGAUAUUGGUCAAUGGACGCGAGUCUGAACCAGCCAAGUCGCCGUGCGGGAUGAAGGCCCUCCGGGUCGUAAACCGCUUUAGCCGGGGAGUAACGUGUGGGACGCGUCCCGCAGUGAGAGUACCCGGAGAAUAAGCAUCGGCUAACUCCGUGCCAGCAGCUGC